GAUCCUGGCUCAGGAUGAACGCUAGCUACAGGCUUAACACAUGCAAGUCGAGGGGCAGCAUGAACUUAGCUUGCUAAGUUUGAUGGCGACCGGCGCACGGGUGAGUAACACGUAUCCAACCUUCCGUUUACUCAGGGAUAGCCUUUCGAAAGAAAGAUUAAUACCUGAUAGUAUGGUGAGAUUGCAUGAUAACACCAUUAAAGAUUUAUUGGUAAACGAUGGGGAUGCGUUCCAUUAGGUAG
rnacentral:rRNA from 1 species